rnacentral:rRNA from 1 species
UACGUAGGGUGCAAGUGUUGUCCGGAAUUAUUGGGCGUAAAGAGCUCGUAGGCGGUCUGUUGCGUCGGCUGUGAAAACCCGGGGCUCAACCCCGGGCCUGCAGCCGAUACGGGCAGACUAGAGUUCGGCAGGGGAGACUGGAAUUCCUGGUGUAGCGGUGAAAUGCGCAGAUAUCAGGAGGAACACCGGUGGCGAAGGCGGGUCUCUGGGCCGAUACUGACGCUGAGGAGCGAAAGCGUGGGGAGCGAACAGG